rnacentral:rRNA from 1 species
GACAAGUUCAACGGCCGCGGUACCCUAACCGUGCGAAGGUAGCAUAAUCACUUGUUCUUUAAAUGAGGACUUGUAUCAAUGGCAUCACGAGGGUUAAUCUGUCUCCUUUCUCAAAUCAAUGAAACUAAUCUCUCCGUGAAGAAGCGGAGAUAAACUUAUAAGACGAGAAGACCCCAUGGAGCUUUAAACCCAGCUACACCCUGUUUAAUUAUACUUUUUAAUCUUUAAGGCCCUGUACUACUGGUUUUAGGUUGGGGUGACCGCGGAGCACAAACUAGCCUCCAUAAUGAAUAGACCUUAUCUUUAUCCAUGAGCCACAUCUCUAAGAAUUAGAAUUCUAACAUAAAAUGAUCCGAUAUUCGAUCAACGAACCAAGUUACCCUGGGGAUAACAGCGCAAUCCACUUCAAGAGCCCCUAUCGACAAGUGGGUUUACGACCUCGAUGUUGGAUCAGGGUAUCCCAGUGGUGCAGCAACUACUAAAGGUUCGUUUGUUCAACGAUUAAAACCC